AAAACAUCCUAAAAUAUAUAAAGUAAUUCAAAGGGGUUAUUAAGGAAAACUAAGGCAAAUUUAUAAAAAAAGGAGGUCUAAUACCAAAAGCUUACUAACAAAAAAGUAAUAAGUAAGCGCUCCUAAGGUAAACCUUAUUAAUCAAUUACUUCCUGAAGUAAAACAUUUUAUUAGGGAAAGGAAAGGAAAUCAACCGAGACUCCGAAAGUAAUGGUGAGUGAAAUCGGAUUAGCCUAAUUAAUUAAUAAAUUGAAAAACUUAAGUAUUUAGCAACGAAGGAAGAACUCUCCUCCUCCCCUUCCUACUCCCCCCUAGCCCCGAGCCGUUUAGGGAGGUACUACCUCUUCGGACUAGUAGGGGUGGAUGCAAAAAUAUAUUAGUUAGUAAUACUUUACUUUAAAGUAGUGUAUAACAUUAUUCGAAGACGAAGUGUUACUCUAAAGAAGGUGAAAAACUAUAAGACCUGUAGGUUUAUUAAUUAAUAUUAGAAUAAAGUACGAUGAGAGAAAACUUGUCGGAAUAUAGGGGUACCAUCCUCUAAGGCUAAGUAUUAUAAAUUUAGCGAUAGUGAAUAAGUACUGUAAAGGAAAAGUUUGAAAAGCGAGUGGUAUACAAAAAUGAAUUUUUAAAAUAUCCCUCCGAAGGCAUAAGGCCGAAGGCGCCCCGUCCUUGACUCCCUACGGAUUCAUAAGAGGGCAGGGGGAACAUUUAAGAAUGAAUUGGUGAAAUAGAUCUUGAAUUAGUAACUCUAUAAGCAGUCGAAAUUCUACUUAGAAAAAGAAUCAUGAAUGACGGCGUACCUUUUGCAUAAGUUAAUAGGAGUAGCAAGGUUUAAAGCCCUAGCGAAAGCGACUGGACUAUAAUUUAAAAAUACAAACAAAAAUUUGUAUUAUAAGUACACAUAGUGAUGGGUCAGUUACUUCUAUUAGACCCGAAGCCAGGUGAUCUUACCAAGACCAGAUUAUAAUGGAUCGAACGGGUGAAUGUUGCAUAAUUCUCCGAUGAGUUUUGGUAAGCGGUGAAAUGCCAAUCUGACCUGGUGCUAGCUGGUUUUCUACCGAAACAUAUUUAAGUAUGACGUCUACACAAAAUUUAUGGAGGUACAGCAAGGCAAUUCCCAACAAGUUUAAGGGUUGUGUACGAAGUGCUCUUCUCUCCGUAGGCCGUAGGCCUUUUUGAAUCCUACCCCCCUUUGGGGUCGGAUUCCUCCCUACGGUACUACUAAUUACUACUCCUCCCCUUUGCCCCUGCAAAGGCAGGGGGAAGGAGGACUACUCCUCCCCUUUGCCCCUGCAAAGGCAGGGGGAAGGAGUCCUACUACUACGUAGAGGGAGGGGAGAAGUUUUUAACACAUCAGCCUUUUAGGCGUUUAGGUUGCGGGGACCUCGAAAAUCUUACCUUUGGAAGCGAAUCUCGGAAUUACAUAAAUUGAUGGUAGAUAUUCAGACUACUCAUGCUAAGUUGGGUAGUCAAGACGGAAACAGCCGAGAACACUGAUCAAGGUCCCAAAUGAUUGUUAAGUGAAAUUAAGGACGUAGCAAUAUCGUAUACAGCUGUGAAGUGAGCCUGGCAGUCGCUACUUUUAAUGAUCGUAUGUAACAACGCAUCAGCAGUUUAGAUAGUAGCGCCGAAAAUUUAACGGGUCUUAAACAAUCAACCGAUAUCGUGUUGGUUUAUAUUAUGAAUGACCCUUGUCCCUUUAAAGGAAAGGGUAUAAUUAUUUAUAUGCAUUUCUAAUACUAAAUCUAGGUAGUAGAACAUUCAGUCAAACCCAUUAUAAAAUAGUGUUUCAUUAUUUUUUAGGUUACUGAAGAGAGAAUGCUGACAUGAGUAACGUAAAAAGAAGUUAUAAUACUUCUCGCCGAAUACGAAAGGGUUGCAAAUAGGAAAGGUUAAUCCGUUUUGUUUGAAUGCGGCCUCUAAGGACCAAAACCAAAGUUUUGGCUGAUGAGUAUAUAAUAGAAAGUCCAUUUCUACGAAGACGAAGUAGUGGACCAGGAAAUGAAUAUUAUAAGUAAUAACAUUUUAGUCGACUCAUCCUAUCCUCCGGGGGAAGAAGCUUGGAAGGGUUCGGCUGUUCGCCGAUUAAAAGGGUACGUGAGUUGGGUUUAAUACGACGUGAGUCAGUAUGGUCCCUAUCUUCUGGAGGGAUAAUUAGUAAAAAGGGGCAGACCUUCUAGUACGAAAGGAUCAAUAGGCUGUGUUUCUCUAGUGUACCAAUUGUUGGUACUAUUUUGUUUAAGACCCCUAUAUCUCCUUCCCUUUUGGAAUCCAGGAGGAUGGAAAGAUAAGUGGGUAAAAUCCUUUUGAACUUUAAGCUAAAAAGUUCUUUAUGUCCUCUACCCUCUGCCAAAGCCCUAAAAGCCGUAGGCAGGGGGCUCCUUCGGCCUUCGGCCUUCGGAGAAAAUACCUUUAAGGUUAGGAUAAAAGGUCACAAAAUGGGAACGCAUAGUUGGGUAGCCACAAACAUAAUAGAUAAGUGCUGAAUGUCUAUAAAGCAAGAAUCUAACCCCUAGAUACUUUAAAUAUGAUUAUUUAUCUUAAUUACCCCCAGCCUAACACCUUGCCUUUUAUCAUUGGUCAAAGGCAAGGGGGCGAGGGCGAAGAGUAUAAUUGAAUAUAAUUUAGGUUAAAGAUCAUUAAUUAAGAAAUAGAACAUUUCUAGAUAGGCUGCAAAUAUAACAUAUUGUAAAAUAUUUAGUUUAGCAGUACUAAUUUAUAAAAAAACUAGGUGCCAG
rnacentral:rRNA from 1 species